UACGUAGGGCGCAAGCGUUAUCCGGAAUUAUUGGGCGUAAAGAGCUCGUAGGCGGUUUGUCGCGUCUGCCGUGAAAGUCCGGGGGCUCAACUCCGGAUCUGCGGUGGGUACGGGCAGACUAGAGUGAUGUAGGGGAGACUGGAAUUCCUGGUGUAGCGGUGAAAUGCGCAGAUAUCAGGAAGAACACCCGUGGCGAAGGCGGUUCUCUGGGACGGUACUGACGCUGAGAACGCGGAAAGCGUGGGGAGCGAACAGG
rnacentral:rRNA from 1 species